rnacentral:tRNA from 4 species
CGGGGCGUAGCGCAGUUUGGUAGCGCACCACACUGGGGGUGUGGUGGUCACAGGUUCAAAUCCUGUCGUCCCGACCA